CGCAAUCUCGGCUCACUGCAAGCUCCGCUUCCCGGGUUCACGCCAUUCUCCUGCCUCAGCCUCCCGAGUAGCUGGGACUACAGGCGGUGCGCCGUUUUUUAAGCCCGUCGGAAAAGCGCAGUAUUCGGGUGGGAGUGACCCGAUUUUCCAGGUGCCGUCCGUCACCCCUUUCUUUGACUCGGAAAGGGAACUCCCUGACCCCUUGCGCUUCCCGAGUGAGGCAGUGCCUCGCCCUGCUUCGGCUCGCACACGGUGCGCGCACCCACUGACCUGCGCCCGCUCUCUGGCACUCCCUAGUGAGAUGAACCCGGUACCUCAGAUGGAAAUGCAGAAAUCACCGUCUUCUGCGUCGCUCACGCUGGGAGCUGUAGACCGGAGCUGUUCCUAUUCGGCCAUCUUGGCUCCUCCAGGCCAAUUUACUUUCAAAAAUACCUGCAUCCAGGAACUCUCAUGCUAGCAGGAUGAGGUAAUGACUAUUUCCCAUACUCGUGUCAACUUUGAGCAAUGCUAGGAAUUUCCAUAUGUCCAAACAACUGUUUAUCAGGAAAUGCAACAAGGUACUUUUGACACUGAGCGUGAAAGGAACUCAUUGAACCAAAAUCUUCCAAAAAGACUGGAACAUAAGAGAGCGGAUGAAGAGCAUAAUAGAAGAGAAGUGCCAGGGAGGAGGAUUAUCUUAGGCAGAGCACACUGAGGAUGGAGAGUUACCAGCCCUCCCGAGCUGUCGUUGGCACUGAACCAAUGAGAGCCAUUCAUGUGCCUGUCUGUGCCUUGUGUUUUUCUUCUUCAACAUAUACUUUAGAACAUCCAUUCUGUGCAAAGCUCUGUGCCCACAGCUGUUGAGAUGCCAGAUGCAUGCUGUUCCCUGCCCUGAAGACCCCAGCAGUCAGGCCAGGGAGAGAAGACAUUCUUAGACAACCCAACAGUCGUCCCUGGGGAAAGACCAUCCCUGGUACCAUGUGGGAGGAGGCUACACAAGGGCGUGGACACCUGAAGGCAGGGACCGCUGGGGCCAUCACAGACGGGCCUGUGAAGCAUGUCCAGACUUGUCUUCAUGGAUCUGAAAGGCAUUCUUGUGGCUGUGGUGACCAGCUCAGCUCUGUCUGGUCCUCGGCUUCCUAGUGGUGGGAUCACUCGCUUCCCGAUCUCUGCAUCUCAGCUGUGGCUUCUUACUCUUGAGCUCAGCAGUUCCAAGGCCAUCUCCUGGAGUCCUUCCUCCAGCCCUUCCAAUGCAUUACAUUUUCUUUCCUUAAAAAUAGCUGAAGUGGUUUCCUAUUCCUGGAACUGGACCAUGGCUGAUACAGGCGGGUAUCAGCCUGCCAAGGAAUAACAGCAAACAUUACCAUGCAAUAUAGUCAUAGCAAUCAAGUUCCAGUGAAACCCACUUGCUACCAUAAAGACACAUGCAUGCAUGUGUUCAUCACAG
rnacentral:lncRNA from 10 species